GAUGAACGCUGGCGGCGUGCUUAACACAUGCAAGUCGAACGGUGAAGGCGGAGCUUGCUCUGCUGGAUCAGUGGCGAACGGGUGAGUAACACGUGAGCAAUCUGCCCCUGACUCUGGGAUAAGCGCUGGAAACGGCGUCUAAUACUGGAUACGAGCUGCGAAGGCAUCUUCAGCAGCUGGAAAGAACUUCGGUCAGGGAUGAGCUCGCGGCCUAUCAGCUUGUUGGUGAGGUAACGGCUCACCAAGGCGUCGACGGGUAGCCGGCCUGAGAGGGUGACCGGCCACACUGGGACUGAGACACGGCCCGGACUCCUACGGGAGGCAGCAGUGGGGAAUAUUGCACAAUGGGCGAAAGCCUGAUGCAGCAACGCCGCGUGAGGGACGACGGCCUUCGGGUUGUAAACCUCUUUUAGCAGGGAAGAAGCGAAAGUGACGGUACCUGCAGAAAAAGCGCCGGCUAACUACGUG
rnacentral:rRNA from 1 species